CCCAAACACUUAUUCUUGUGGCCACUACUCCUUCGCAACCGUAAAAGAUUACGACAAAUUUAUUUUACCAAAUUGCUCGUUAUGUCUUCAGGAUUAGAAUAUUCAUUUGGAUCGAAGCUAUCCGGAGACUCCAUAUGAGAGUUAUUUCCCCUUAUGCAUUUGAUAUAAGUGAUAUGCGUUUCUUACUGGUAAACCAUCAGUGAUAUAGGCCUAGGGUCUUUAGAUUUGAGGUCCUUGGUUAAAAAAAAUGAAAAUAAGGUCAAGGUCAAAGGUCAAGGUCAUAUUCUAAAUUUUAAUUUUGGCUUAUUUUCACUUAUUUUCAACAACCGUGAAAGAUAUUGACAAAUUCUUUUUACUAAAUUGUGAGUUGCGACAUGUUGUAACUUAUAAAUUUUGGUUGGAAGGGUGCGUAAACAAUAAAUGAGAGUUUUCGCCCAUCUUAUAUUUAAAAUCAUGCCUAUAGUGAUAUAACUCAUUAACCAUACAUAUUACAGACCUAGGGUCUUUUUGUUUGAGGUCCUUGGUUGGUGACCUUGAAAUUGAGGUCAAGGUCAAAGGUUAAUAGGACGUUCUAGAUUUUGACCUUUGCUUUAAAUUCAUAUUUAUACAUUAUAAAGUCAUAGGAACUGACAUUUUAGAUUGAUUUUUAAUAUUUUGAUAAUAAAAUAGAUCUUUACUUGUGGAAAGACCUUCAAUUGUUCUUUGAACAAUUGGUUUUUAAUUAUUAUUAUUAUUAUCAUUUUUUUUUUCUUCCGCCUAAUUUUUUUCUUGCGUAGUAUUGAUGUUUCAAAAGAUGUCGCUUAGAUAUUUGAAAUAUGAUAUCGUAUAGUUGAUACGCUUUAAAAAUUUACAACCGCAUAACAAAAUACUUUACGUUGUAAGAGUUACCUCCCCGAACACUGUUUUUCUUGUGGCCACUAAUCCUUCGCAACCGUAAAAGAUUAUGACAAAUUUAUUUUGCCUAAUUGGUCGUUACAUCUUAAGGAUAAGGAUAUUCAUUUGGACCGAAGCUAUAUGGCGACCCCAUAUGAGAGUUAUUCCCCCUUUUUCAUUUGAUUCAAGUGAUAUGCAUUUCUAACUAGUAACCCAUAAGUGAUAGAGACCUAGGGUCUUCUGAUUUGAGGUCCUUGGUCCAAAAAAACGAAAAUGAGGUCAAGGUCAAAGGUCAAGGUCAUAUUCUAAAUUUUGAUUUUUGCUUAUUUUCACUGAUUUUCAAAUACCGUAUGACAUGUCGACAAAUAAUUUUUCAUCAAUUGUUAGUUGCGACAUAUCCUUACUUGCAUAUUUUGGUUGAAAGGGUGCGCAGACAAUAAAUAAGAGUUUUUGCCCAUCUUACAUUUAAAAUUACGCGUCAAGUGAUAUUACUUAUUAACAAAACAUAUUAAAGACCUAGGGUCUUUUGAUUUAAGGUCCUUGGUUUGUGAUCUUGAAAUUGAGGUCAAGGUCAUAGGUUAAUAGGACGUUCUAGAUUUUGACCUUUGCUUAAAAUUCAUAUUAAUAUAUCAUAAAGCCAUAUGAACUAGCAUUUUAAACUGAUUUUUUAUAUUUCAAUAUCAAAAUAGAUCUUUACUAGUGGAAAGACCUUCAAUUGUUCUCUGAACAAUUGGUUUUUAAUUUUUUUUAUUUUU
rnacentral:lncRNA from 1 species